UUGGAGGGCAAGUCUGGUGCCAGCAGCCGCGGUAAUUCCAGCUCCAAUAGCGUAUAUUAAAGUUGUUGCAGUUAAAAAGCUCGUAGUUGAAUUUCGGGGUUCUACCGUUGGUCGGGCUUUGUCUGUACUGGUGUGUAGAAUUUCUACUUUCUGGGGAACCAUCAUGCUAUUAAUUUAGCGUGGUGGGAAACCAGGACCUUUACCUUGAAAAAAUUAGUGUGUUCAAAGCAGGCUUAUGUCUGAAUACAUUAGCGUGGAAUAAUAGAAUAGGACGGUGGUCCUGUUUUGUUGGUUUCUGAAUCACCGUAAUGAUUAAUAGGGAUAGUUGGGGGCAUUAGUAUUCAAUUGUCAGAGGUGAAAUUCUUGGAUUUAUUGAAGACUAACUUCUGCGAAAGCAUUUGCCAAGGAUGUUUUCAUUAAUCAAGAACGAAAGUUAGGGGAUCGAAGACGAUCAGAUACCGUCGUAGUCUUAACCAUAAACUAUGCCGACUAGGGAUCGGACGAUGUUAAUUUUUCUUGACUCGUUCGGCGCCUUACGGGAAAC
rnacentral:rRNA from 1 species